rnacentral:tRNA from 1 species
GCAUGUGUAGCUUAUUGAAAGCAUGGCACUGAAAAUGCUAAUAUGUGAAGUAAAAUUCACCGCGAGCA